ACUAUACAAUACAUAUAACAUACAAAAUUUGUGUUAACCAAUUAUCUGCGUGAUCACUGAGGCUUUUACCCAAGAAUAGGCUAUUCUUGGGUAACGGUCAAUCCGUUUUUGGGUAGUCAAAAGUUAUUGGCUGAAUUUCGACUGUGUGGCGGGUUGGUGCCCCUAAUCUCUGCAUUGUUCAAGGAUCAAUUGUAUUGCUUAAGAGGUGGUCAUUGGAACACUCCUUAGGGGCUGACUAUUUUUUUGUUUAAAAAAGUUUUUGCCACAGUGGGCCGCUCGUUUAAGGCCCUAAGAUUCCUCACCUCUGAGCUCCUGCUACCAUAGACCAAGUGCUGAUCAUUUUUGUUGCUCAACAUACUUGUCUCUUCCAUCUGCCACAGGACCCACUCUCACCUUCCAGGAACUGCUCCUUCCACUGCCUGUGGACCUGAGGGUCAGCGUGUCCAGCCAGGCCAAGUAGGGAGAUCAGUCCUCUCCUGUGCCCCAGUUCAUGGAUGGGCACAGGAUGUGGGUGGUGGGGGUGGUCCACCCGCUUCCUGCUAAUCCCACUGGAUCAUCAGGUGGGGAGAGUCAGCUUGCAUAGUGAAACCAGAGAGCUGCGAGAUGGAGAGUGGGAGUGAGAAACCAACAGAGUGAGACACACACACACACACACACACACACAAAGAGGGAGAGUGAGAGAGAGAGAGAGGGUCAGAGACUCCUCCUUGAAAUGUCACCACUGACUUCCAAACAAGCAGCAAAUAAAAAAGGUUUUUAAAACACUGACUUCUACCAGUUUCUAGUUUUUCUAAAGGUUAUGGUGCUGUUUCUUAAUACCUCUCUCGAACAUCUUUCUCUUUGUUUUUUUUGCAUGAAUUAACAUGAAAAUAGAGCACAACAUAUUAUAGUGAAUAUAGACUAUAAAUGAUGUUUUGUGCAUACUUUAUUACUAGUGAUAAACACUGUAUAAGUAAUUUAUUUUUGCCAUUUCCUACUUACUAUGGUUUGAAAGUGUCCCCCAAAUUUCACGUGUUGGAAACUGAACCCCUCAUGCAGUAGUGCUGAGGGGACGGAUAUUUAAGAGGUGAUCAGGUCAUGAGGGUUUCACCCUCAUGAGUGGAUUAAUGUUUUUUGUUUGUUUGUUUGCUUUUUUUUUUUGAGAUGGAGUCUCGCUCUGUUGCCCAGGCUGGAGUGUAGUGGUGCAAUCUCAGCUCACUGCAAACUCCGCCUUCUGGGUUCACACCAUUCUCCUGCCUCAGCUUCUAGAGGAGCUGGGACUACAAGUGCUCACCACCACGCCCGGCUAAUUUUUUUGUAUUUUUAGUAGAGGCGGGGUUUCACCGUGUUAGCCAGGAUGGUCUUGAUCUCCUGACCUCGUGAUCUGCCCACCUCGGCCUUCCAAAGUGCUGGGAUUACAGGCGUGAGCCACCACGCCCGGCCGGAUUAAUGUUGUUAUUGGGGGAGUGGGUUCAUUAUCACAAGAGUGGGUCUGUUACAAAAGUGAGUUUGACCCCUCUUACUCCCUCAUGCUCUCUUGCCCUCCCACCUUCCCGUGGGAUGACACAGCACAAAGGUCCUUGCCAGAUCACCCUUUAACCUUGUACUUCCCACCUCCAGGACUGUGAGAAGUGAAUCUCUGUUUUUGUAAAUUACCCAGUCUCAGGUACUCUGUUAAGGGAAGCAGAAAACAGGCUAAGACAAAAUGUUUUAGUAUCCUCUUCUCUCACAGUUGCAGUGAGAAGUUUAUACUUUGUUUUGCUUUGUGGCAGAUGAAGUGCUAAAUAAUAGGCAACCCUUGGGAAUUCGUGUCUGUCUCUCUUCCUCACCUUCUAAGCCCUGCCUGCUGCUCAGAGCCUGGCCUGCAAUCUGCACUGGGCAUUCUGAAUGGGGCAUGAGAGAGGCAGGAAUGAAGCCUCCCCAAGAAAUUAGGACAUGGACAUUUGAGGAACCACCUCUGAGCUCAGUAUUUUAGCCUGAAUCUACCUUCAAAUCUAAAAAGAUUAUCGUAUAUUUUUGAGCCCAAAAUAGGACGAAAAGUGUUGGAUUUCUUGCCAGUGUUUUAGUCUUCUUUUCGUCCUGGCUUAGAGCUUUACUGUGGCAUAACUGGUGCACAGUAAACUGCACAUCUUUAAAACCUACACGGUGAGGAGUUCUGACUUAUCUCCACACCAGCGAGACUUAGACCACAGUCAGAAAAACGAGGCUCCUAUCACCCCAGAGUUCUCCGUCACUCGCUCUCCGCGAGCCCCUUGCCAGGAAGAGCUGCUUCCUGGCAUUAUAGAUGUGUCUGCAUCUUCUUGAAUUGUGCAACAUGGAAUCAUACAGUGCCUGCUGUUCUGCUGCCAGCUGUUCUUGCUCAGUGUGAUGUGUUCGAGAUUCAGCAACACAGGACGCAUCAGCAGCUGCUGCCCUUUCAUUGCCGAGCCCUCCUCCAUUGCACCAAUACAUCCUGAUUGGUCUAGCCAUUGACUUGCUGGUGGAUAUCUAGGUCGUUUCUAGGUGUUAGUUGUCACAAAUAAAGCUACAAUAAAUAUUAGUGUGCACGUAUGUUUA
rnacentral:lncRNA from 10 species